AGAGUUUGAUCCUGGCUCAGGACGAACGCUGGCGGCGCGCCUAACACAUGCAAGUCGAACGAGAGAGAGGGAGCUUGCUUCCUCGAUCGAGUGGCGAACGGGUGAGUAACGCGUGAGGAACCUGCCUCAAAGAGGGGGACAACAGUUGGAAACGACUGCUAAUACCGCAUAAGCCCACGGCUCGGCAUCGAGCAGAGGGAAAAGGAGCAAUCCGCUUUGAGAUGGCCUCGCGUCCGAUUAGCUAGUUGGUGAGGUAACGGCCCACCAAGGCAACGAUCGGUAGCCGGACUGAGAGGUUGAACGGCCACAUUGGGACUGAGACACGGCCCAGACUCCUACGGGAGGCAGCAGUGGGGAAUAUUGCACAAUGGGGGAAACCCUGAUGCAGCGACGCCGCGUGGAGGAAGAAGGUCUUCGGAUUGUAAACUCCUGUUGUUGAGGAAGAUAAUGACGGUACUCAACAAGGAAGUGACGGCUAACUACGUGCCAGCAGCCGCGGUAAAACGUAGGUCACAAGCGUUGUCCGGAAUUACUGGGUGUAAAGGGAGCGCAGGCGGGCGAUCAAGUUGGAAGUGAAAUCCAUGGGCUCAACCCAUGAACUGCUUUCAAAACUGAUUGUCUUGAGUAGUGCAGAGGUAGGCGGAAUUCCCGGUGUAGCGGUGGAAUGCGUAGAUAUCGGGAGGAACACCAGUGGCGAAGGCGGCCUACUGGGCACCAACUGACGCUGAGGCUCGAAAGUGUGGGUAGCAAACAGGAUUAGAUACCCUGGUAGUCCACACCGUAAACGAUGAUUACUAGGUGUUGGAGGAUUGACCCCUUCAGUGCCGCAGUUAACACAAUAAGUAAUCCACCUGGGGAGUACGACCGCAAGGUUGAAACUCAAAGGAAUUGACGGGGGCCCGCACAAGCAGUGGAGUAUGUGGUUUAAUUCGACGCAACGCGAAGAACCUUACCAAGUCUUGACAUCCUGCGACGGACAUAGAAAUAUGUUUUUCCUUCGGGACGCAGAGACAGGUGGUGCAUGGUUGUCGUCAGCUCGUGUCGUGAGAUGUUGGGUUAAGUCCCGCAACGAGCGCAACCCUUAUGGUCAGUUACUACGCAAGAGGACUCUGGCCAGACUGCCGUUGACAAAACGGAGGAAGGUGGGGAUGACGUCAAAUCAUCAUGCCCUUUAUGACUUGGGCUACACACGUACUACAAU
rnacentral:rRNA from 1 species